AUCUGACAACUCCCCCGACCUGCUGGGCACUGAAGCCUCUGCUGCGGGGGUUGCCGGUGCCACUUCCCCUCUCCACAGCCGUGCGGUGCCCAGCUUAGCUCACGUUCACAGUUCUUUCAGCAGAUGUAGCCGUGGACAGCAGCCUGGUUACAGUGGGAUGUGCAGCUGGCCGACCCCCUCUAGCCAUCCUGCAAGUCACUGUGAACGCCCUCACGCUCCAACAGCAAAGCCACUGCUCAGAAAGAGGCUGGGCUCCUGCACACCUGCCAGCGAUGGCUACCCGUGUCCAUCCUGUUCACUGAAGGGGAGCGGCUCCUGGAGGGUGAAGCCGCUGUGGUUUGAGGGUGAAGCCACUGUCGUUUGAGCCCUCGGCCCGGACGCAGCUGAUGCACCAGCCACAGAAGCACGGAGGAGUCAAGAAUGGGAAGGACAGAAACGGUUCCUGACCUCGGGAGCUGGAGGUUGAGUGGGUUGGUCUAAAAACCAACUGAAUAGUAAAUGGGUGAAUUAGCAUAAUGACGAAUGCAUAUCGAUCAGUGUUUCAGAAAACUGCAUGCUUUUCAUCACCAGUUUUGAUUGAUGACGAGGUUAUGUAAGCAAUUACUCAGAAUGAUCACAAGUCGUGAUUAUGCUAGGAAGGGGAGCGUGAAGGGUGCCGUGCUUGAGACUGGAUGGGACGCGGCCCGGGGAGAGGAGGCUCUGGGGGCUUUGAGAAGCGACGGGGCCAUAGGGCGGAGCGGGCCUGGGCUGCAGGGGAGGAAGCAGCAGGGGCCUCGGGCCCGCGGGAGCUGGGCAGGGAUGGAGGCUCUGCAGGGAGGAGGAGGGAGGCUUGCGGCCUUCCCAGGGCCACGGGCCAGGAGGGGGAGGCGGCCGGGCUGGGUCAGAGCCGAGGAGAGGGCGGCAUCGGGAGCUGUUCUCAGAGGGGCCGAGUGACAGGAGGCCGUUUCUGGGUCUGGGUUCUCACCGUAAAAGAAGACGGUAGAACACAGUUCUCAACACGGGCCUCCUGCUCGGAGGUGAUGUGAUUCAGACCGCGGCUCCAGGGUCUCCAAAAUUUCCGCGUAACCAGGAACCGCAGGUCGAAGGCCAGUACCGCAUCCAACACCGCCAUCUGCUGGUGAGCGGGAAACAUGACGCCUCGGGGCCAAAUGGGAAGAGCACGUUCAGGAUAUUGGAUUAGAGAAAUAUCAAACUACUUUAAAUUCCAUCACAGCUGUCAAAACCAAACUGGGGAUGUAAAGAAUUUUUCAGCUCAUUGUAUUCUAUUUACAUUGCGCACACACAAUAAAUGCUUGCUAGAGCA
ensembl:lncRNA novel transcript